CGCUGGCGGCACGCCUAACACAUGCAAGUCGAACGCAGUAGCAAUACUGAGUGGCAAACGGGUGAGUAUAAUGUGGGAAUCUGCCUUUUGGUUUGGAAUAACACGGGGAAACUUGUGCUAAUACCGAAUAAGCCCUUACGGGGAAAGUUUUAACGCCGAAAGAUGAGCCCGCACUUGAUUAGCUAGUUGGUAAGGUAAAAGCUUACCAAGGCAAUGAUCAAUAGCUGUUCUUAGAGGAAGACCAGCCACAUUGGGACUGAGACACGGCCCAGACUCCUACGGGAGGCAGCAGUGGGGAAUCUUGCACAAUGGGGGAAACCCUGAUGCAGCGAUGCCGCGUGAGUGAAGAAGGCCCUUGGGUUGUAAAACUCUUUCGUCGGGGAAGAAAAUGACUGUACCCGAAUAAGAAGGUCCGGCUAACUUCGUGCCAGCAGCCGCGGUAAUACGAAGGGACCUAGCGUAGUUCGGAAUUACUGGGCUUAAAGAGCUCGUAGGUGGUUAAAAAAGUUGAUGGUGAAAUCCCAAGGCUCAACCUUGGAACUGCCAUCAAAACUUUUUAGCUAGAGUGUGAUAGAGGUAAGUGGAAUUUCUAGUGUAGAGGUGAAAUUCGUAGAUAUUAGAAAGAACACCAAAUGCGAAGGCAACUUACUGGGUCACUACUGACACUGAGGAGCGAAAGCAUGGGUAGCGAAGAGGAUUAGAUACCCUCGUAGUCCAUGCCGUAAACGAUGUGUGCUAGACGUUGGAAAUAUAUUUUUCAGUGUCGCAGCGAAAGCAUUAAGCACACCGCCUGGGGAGUACGACC
rnacentral:rRNA from 1 species